rnacentral:rRNA from 1 species
UACGUAGGGGGCAAGCGUUGUCCGGAAUCAUUGGGCGUAAAGCGCGUGUAGGCGGUUCGGUAAGUCUGCUGUGAAAGUCCAGGGCUCAACCCUGGGAUGCCGGUGGAUACUGUCGAACUAGAGUACGGAAGAGGCGAGUGGAAUUCCCGGUGUAGCGGUGAAAUGCGUAGAGAUCCGGAGGAACACCAGAGGCGAAGGCGGCCUACUGGGCUGCACCUGACGCUGAGCCGCGAAAGCCAGGGGAGCGAACGGG